rnacentral:rRNA from 1 species
GCUAAACGCGAAGAACCUUACCUACCUUUGAAUCCACGGAACCUAGCAGAGAUGUUGGGGUGCCUUCGGGAACCGUGAGACAGGUGCUGCAUGGCUGUCGUCAGCUCGUGUCGUGAGAUGUUGGGUUAAGUCCCGUAACGAGCGCAACCCUUGUCCUUAGUUGCCAUCAGGUUAUGCUGGGCACUUUAAGGAGACUGCCGGUGAUAAACCGGAGGAAGGUGGGGAUGACGUCAAGUCCUCAUGGCCCUUACAGGUAGGGCUACACACGUGCUACAAUGGGCAGUACAGAGGGAAGCCAACCCGCGAGGGGGAGCGAAUCUCAUAAAGCUGUUCGUAGUCCGGAUUGGAGUCUGCAACUCGACUCCAUGAAGUUGGAAUCGCUAGUAAUCGCGGAUCAGAAUGCCGCGGUGAAUACGUUCCCGGGUCUUGUACACACCG